UCUGGACAGGCGGGUCCCCCCGCUCAGUUUAGCAUAUCAAUAAGGGGGAGGAACACAACGUUUUGCGCACUUGCUAAUUUGCCGAAUCUCCAAUUCUUUGAGGCACAUCUGCGCUCCUAGAGAAUGAGGGGGGCCGGGUAUGCUCGACUUCCAUUCAACC
rnacentral:rRNA from 1 species